GUUAGGGCUAGGACACUCCUGUUUGCCUAAUAGUGGACAAUAACAAACAUCCGCUCGGCUCCCAGCCUCCCCCCAACAACUGAACCCCAUCCUCGGAAAUCCCGGAAAAAAAAUCUCUUUUAAAUAUAUUAAGUAUUUGUUUGUUUCUGAUUUAUUGUGCGCUCAUGUGUGAAGAACACAUUUUUCUCUCACACAAAAAACAUGUGACAUACAGCAUUAAAGUUCAUAUAGCGUGAAGGUAUUUGGAAAGGUGCACGUAUUUUACGCAUGGAAAAAAAAAUAAUAAUAAUUUUGCACAUUUGCUUUUAUUCAGCAAGUUCUUUUCCGGUUUUCAUCGUGCGUUUAAACGCGUAAAAGCGCGCACCGUCACAUGCUAUAUUCCGGUGAGCCCCGUACGCUCUUCCCCGGUCAACGCGCCCCUUUCCAGCUAUUAUUGAAACUUCCGACCACGGAGCGAGUGCACGCAGCUUUCACUCCACUGCUCGACGCGCUCUUUCAACCACCUCACCCAAACAAGAAAAUGUCGGAGAAAAGGGUACAAAUGGAUUGGACUUGGUGAAAAUUCUUCUCCAAACUCACCAGACAUGACGACAGAGAUGAUGAAAAGUUUCCCUGAUGAAGACCCGUGGGGCUCCUCAAUGUCCUUUUCUGCCUCAGCACAAUGACCAAGAACGAAAAUUGUACAAAAGUCUCCAAAAAUAUCAACACAAAUCUGUUAGAGCAGCGUCAGGGCAUACAACAAUAUUGUUAUAUAGCUGGGAACAUAUUAGUUUGGGAUUUUCUCCCUCCAUGCCUACUAUUUAAAACCCCUAGAACUCAAUGAUUUGACAAUGAUUUGAUUGCGCGUUACUUUCGAUUUGAAUAUUCAGAGGCAACCGAGUUAAAUCGAUUUUUCAGCAAAAUUCACUAAAUUAGUGCAGUCUAUAUGUACACUUUUAAUAUAUCAUGACUUUAUUUUAUAUUUUGAUCAAAAAUAAACGGUAUUUUUAUUCAUUUAUCGUCCUUUUGCAAGAUGACAGCAGCACACACCCCUCAUUAAGCACUUCGGCACAGUGCGUUUUGUGCGCAAUUUAAACACCACAAUUUUAUUUUAAUACGUUAUCGGAUAUUAAUAGGGCUCAGCCAACAAGUCAUUACCACGAUCGGGCACAUUUAAGGCUUUAAUACUGAAAAACUGUGAUAAAAGUGGGACUUGGGUGGGCGUGGCAAAGGGCAGUAGCCAUCUUUGGAUCCACGGGCCUUCAGCAAGUGCAGAAAGUGCAGAAACAAGUCCACUUAUGAUGGCUGAAGCGUUACGCAAUCAAUCUCUGUAAUUAAAACAUAUCAUUAUGUUUUUUCUUGA